rnacentral:sRNA from 1 species
UCACCAGAUCAACAUCAGCGUGGCGAUCAAGCAUAUCGGCCUGGUCACCCUGCCUGUGGUGCUGCAUCCCGAAGUGAAGGUGAGCAUCACCGUCAAUGUCGCCCGCAGCGAGGACGAAGCCGAGCGCCAGGCGCGCGGCGAGGACGUGCUGUCGGAGAAGACGGACGCCGAGGAAGCGGCCGCCGCCGCCGAGGAGAUGUUCGAAGAAGGCUCCGCCCCGGCCGAAGAAGCCGCGGAAGACGCCGAAGCCUGAUCGCUUCGAUCAUCCAGAAUGCAAAAAGGCCGGUCGCAGGACCGGCCUUUUUGUUUGGGUUUCUUGCCC